ACUGGGCUGGUUCAGAUGGUAAAGCAUCUGCCUGCAAUGCAGGAGACCCAGGAUCGAUCCCUGGGUCAGGAA
rnacentral:tRNA from 1 species